GGCCUUGUAUUCAUUAUUAUAUGAUAAUAGAAUGCAAUUCUAUAGGAGUAAUUAUAAAUUACUAAGGCUU
rnacentral:tRNA from 1 species